AUGGAGGAGACCGUUGUGGAAGUUGGAAGCAACGAGUGGCUCGAAGAGCACCAUGGCCUUCAGCUCCUAGUUCUCCUACCGCACCGACACGUAGUUGACCUGUGGCGACAUCGCCCCGCUCCCCCACCCCACUCCCUGCCGUCGUGCGACUACGUCGCGGUGGCGAUGGCGGCCACACACCCGAAGAAUGAGCGUUGUGUUGUGCCCGCCGCCGCCCUGGAUUGUGCGAUGGAGCUGCUCAGCUGCUCGAAGGAGAGCAUGUGCACCGCUAUCUGCACAGGCAGCUACUCGUUCUGCGCCGUGUGCAAAAUCCUGUGUCGUUGCUCUGCUGGCGGGUAGGCUCCACAUG
rnacentral:lncRNA from 1 species